CUCCGGGGGCCUGGCAGACGGCUCAGUAACACGUGGCCUACCUGCCCUAGGGAGGGGGAUAACUCCGGGAAACUGGGGUUAAACCCCCAUAGGCGGCGGGAUCUGGAAAGACUCGCCGCUGAAAGUGGUGUACGGGGAUGCUCCGUGCACCAGCCCUAGGAUGGGGCUGCGGCCCAUCAGGGUUGUUGGUGGGGUAACGGCCCACCAAGCCUAUAACGGGUACGGGCCCUGGGAGGGGGAGCCCGGAGAUGGGCUCUGAGACAAGAGCCCAGGCCCUACGGGGCGCAGCAGGCGCGAAACCUCCCCAAUGCCCGAAAGGGUGAGGGGGCCACCCCGAGUGCCACCCUCGUGGUGGCUUUUGCCGGGUCUAAAAAGCCCGGCGAAUAAU
rnacentral:rRNA from 1 species